UCUGUCUUCCUUCCAGACCCUCAUGCUUGGAACACAAUCCUGAUUUAGACCAUGAAGCCAUUACUUUGUCCUCCUUUGCAUCUUUGUGCCAGACCCACUUUAUUCGUAAUACCUUAGGGAAAGUGCCAACUGAUAAUGGCAAGAUGGAUUGGCCAGUAAGGACUUCUAAUAGCGAAUUAAUUUAUUGGACCCUUGUGGAUGCAUAUUCCUAUUCCUGUUUCCAUUGCCCUUCCUUCUGUGUACUAUUUCAGUGUUACAAUCACUUGUUGCAUCUUGUCUUUAUUUGAUUGUGGGCUCUCCAGGGAUUUUCUUACUCUGUGUUCACUCGGGCUUCGAUCCUGAUUGGGACUUCUAGGUGUUACCAUAAUACAGGAUCCACAGUGCCAGCUCUCCGUUCCUUUUAAGGAUAUUGGGAGAAGAAAGGGAGUCUGCCCUGCCAGCAAAAUCUCCUCCUCCUUAAUGGAAUUAAAAAGGGAAGUUUAGCCCCAUCUGUGGAGGAAGAAAAUAGCUCUGUUAGGUUCCUUUCCUCUCUGGCAUUCAACUUAAAAGCCCAAUUCUAACUCUGAAGCCCCUGCUGAGUGACAUUGUCACAGCAGAUGUUACCAUUUAUGUGUAUUAUGGUAGCACUUAGAGACCAAUUGAGAACAAGGUCUCAUUGUUCUAGGCACUGUACAAACGAACAAAACAAUGUCUGCCUCAAAGAGCUUACAAUCCAAAUAAACAAGACAGACUAAGGGGAAAGUGAUGUAACAUACAUGCAGAGUAAAGAUGCUCAGCAAACAUCAUGUGUAAGGAUACAGUUUUGUCACGGAGGUCACGACUCUAACAGACCUCCAUGACUUCUGACUCGAGCUAGGGCAGUCCGCCCCCCACAGCAGUGGGGCUGGGGCUUCUGUGAUUUAUUGUUCAUUGCCCACGUCCUGCCCGUGAAUUUUAAUAAAAAUGUCAGGGUCAGUCUUAA